AAUCUACGUGCUAUGGCUUGGAUCUAAAAUGUCACCUAGAGUGUCAUGGACUCCGAGGUGGUGCUGUUGGAAGUGAAGAAGUUUUGAAGUUCCUGUUUGAGCAUGGAGCUGCCUAUACUACAAAAAGAAAUUCCCUUCAGAGUAAAGCCCAGAGCAAACUCUUCUUCACUCUUCUGAAAAGGAAAGUUGAACAGCAAUGAAUCACACAAACUACAAACCUGACUAACCAAAUAAAGCUGUAGUACUUAAUUUAUGGAAUUGAUUAAUUUAUUGUGGACUCCAGAUCUGAUAGGCAUUAAAAAGUACGCGGACCCAAGCCAUGCAGGUGCCCAGGAGGCGAGCCACCUGCUCUUGGGAAGCCAGCGCCCAGGAAGCAGCACUGCGGCACGCACUGGAGCGCACCGGCCCUCAGGCCAGCCACCACCACGCAGUCGAGAACUAUCAUGGCACAGAGAUGCAAUGACACAAUUGGCCCGCCAUGCACUGGCCACGCAGGCCCUCCUGGGGACGUGCGUGAAUCAUCCCGACGUGGAGAAAUCCCUGGGAGUAUGUACCACA
rnacentral:lncRNA from 1 species